ACUCCUACGGGAGGCAGCAGUGGGGAAUAUUGCACAAUGGGGGAAACCCUGAUGCAGCCAUGCCGCGUGUGUGAAGAAGGCCUUCGGGUUGUAAAGCACUUUCAGUAGGGAGGAAGGUAGUGUAGUUAACACCUGCAUUAUUUGACGUUACCUACAGAAGAAGCACCGGCUAACUCCGUGCCAGCAGCCGCGGUAAUACGGAGGGUGCGAGCGUUAAUCGGAAUUACUGGGCGUAAAGCGCAUGCAGGCGGCCUGUUAAGUCAGAUGUGAAAGCCCGGGGCUUAACCUCGGAAUUGCAUUUGAAACUGGCAGGCUAGAGUCUUGUAGAGGGGGGUAGAAUUUCAGGUGUAGCGGUGAAAUGCGUAGAGAAUCUGAAGGAAUACCAGUGGCGAAGGCGGCCCCCUGGACAAAGACUGACGCUCAGAUGCGAAAAGCGUGGGGAGCAAACAGGAUUAGAUACCCUGGUAGCACAGAG
rnacentral:rRNA from 1 species